AGCUCCAGACCCCUGAACCUCCUCCUGGUGCUCCUCCUCCUCCUGCUCCUCUGCUGCAGCUGAUGUUCCUCUCUGUGUCUGUUCUCCAUCUUCUCCUCCACGACCUUCACUUUGAGCUCUCUCUGCAGUGUUUUUCCCGUUUCCCUGCCUCCUCACCGUCCUCUGAUCCUCCUGUUUGAUUGUUUAAUUGGACUGAAAAGGUGAGGAGUGAAUCUGUGGGGAUGAAGUAAAGCUGGUUCAUGUAAAGAAGACGCUCCUUCAGAGCUCCUCAUCAGAUCUGCUGCCUGUUCUUUGUGUCAGAGCAGAUUUCAUAUCUGAUUGUCUUCUUGUGAAUCAUGAAGCAGCUCUGAUCAUCCCUGACGUUAAAGAGUUAAAACUUUAAUUACACCCCACAUUAGUAGAGAUGUCUGCUGUCUGACUAUAAUGAAUUAGACCCGCUCCGAUCCGCCUGUCGAUCUCCAGCUCCAUCCUACCCUCACACAUGAACAAAAUCCUGAGAUACUUGAACUACAAAAUCAUCUUAAUAAGACGAAAGUUUCAGACAAUCCCAAAAUAAAUGACAAUGGGUAACUGAAUCUGAACAUCCUCCAACAUCUUGAUGUUUCCUCUGAGUCGUGUUAUAAAAAAAUCUCCUGAUGUUUUUCAUCCAGAUUCCCUCCAGCUCUUUGUGUUUUCCUCUGUAAUUAUAAAGACAUCUUCCCAUUCUCCCUCAGAUAUGACCAAACCUCCCUCUCUGUACCAUCGACAUUUAGUCUUGAAAACUUUGAUAUAAUCUAGAUCAGGGGUCGGCAACCUUAAACACUCAAAGAGCCACUUGGACCAGUUUCCCACAGAAAAGAAAACACAGGGAGCCACAAAACCUCUUUGACAUCUAAAAUGAAGAUAACAUUGCAUAUAUAUAUUUUUUUUCCUUUAUACAAAGUCUAUAAAAAACUGUAGCGAGUUGCAUUUAUGAAAAAAAUGAACUAUUUCGGCGAGUGUCUGUCUUCUUCUGUAGUUAAACCGCAAGAUAUCAAAAUCUACCCGGAUACAGCAAUGCUGCUUUUUGAUUGGCUGUUCAGUAGAUAUACUUUAUUUGAUUGGCUUGUGCGUGGCACGCAGCUUCUGAACUCUCGGAGGAACUCAGUUGAUUUCCCCCAGUCCCAUAGUUGAAGAAGUGCAACUUGGUGGACAUCACCGUGUUCAUUUAAAUGCGUGAGAAAUACAAUGUGUGGUGUGUGAGCGUGUGAACGAGUGGGAAUGCGUGUGUCAUACGCUGAAUGCGUGAGACUUGAGAGCCCUGUGCUCACGCAUCAUCGAUGUACCCCCGAGCCAUGCAAAACGGUCUUUGCAAAUGUUGCACUGAACGCCUUCCUUUUCAGUCUUGGUGAAGUUUUCCCACACCACUGAUGUUUUAGGUCGGGAUUUGGGUUGGGUUGUGUCCAUGUUUUUCUCAGCCGCUGCCUCGGCCAUGGCUGUUUCUUUUCUGUGCGUCCUGCUGAUGUUUACACGCCGGUGUCCAUGGACAUAUAUAAAGACCCGACGAAUCGAUUACAGAAUUUGUUGGCAACGGAUUUUUUCGUCACGACGAAUCGACUUAAUCGAUUCGUUGUUGCAGCCUUCAUAGUAACAAGAGCAUUAUAAUCUUUGAAUUUAGAAUAACAAAAAAUAAUAAUAAUAAAAUAAAAUGUAAUUAAGUAUUUCUUAAUUAUUUUACAAAUCCAUUGGGAGCCGCAGCUUAGGGAAGAAAGAGCUGCAUGCGGCUCCAGAGCCGCGGGUUGCCGACCCCUGAUCUAGAUUUUAAUUUCUGUCCACUCUCAGAUUCGUUAAUUGAGACAAAGAUCUUUAGAAUAAACUCGUCGAGUCCUGAAGACUGUAUUUGAUCGAUGCCUCACUGAGGUUUCUCUGUUUCACCAACAACAUGCAGUUAAACUCUCUCUCUGGUUUCAUCCUGCAGACCUAAUUUCCCUUCUUCGCUCGUUCUGCGGCGUCGACCUCAAAGACACUCUCUCUCUCUCUCUCUCUCUCUCUCUCUCUCUCCUCUGCGGUCCAAAUUGAUUUCCAGGAGUGAGUGUUUCAGCGCAUCAGCUCUGAUGGAUUAGCCCUUCAAAUGUGUUUUUGUCAGAGAGCAACUGAAGCCGGCUGCAUUUUGAGAAGACGCCGAGGUUACCUGAGUUCAAACCGGAGAUCAGACCUUUGACCUUUGCUCUGGGGUCAGAGAUGGAGAUGGUGAGAUUAAAAAUGUAAAAUGUAAUUAAAUUCAUAGAAUAAAGACACCAGGACGUGUUCAUCCUCGGUGGUAUAAAGAUGAUUCAGGUCUCAGUAAUAAUUCAGAUCCGUGUCUCAGCAGAUAAAAACCCGCCCCUGGUCUCCAGGACUCUGAUGAAGUCUGGUGAGUCACAUCUAAUUUUACGUCAUUAUUUUGUUGUUUCUCUUUUUUUUUUUUCUCUUGACCCUGUUGUCAUCAUGUUACUCUGCACUUUGAACACAUCGGUUUGUUUCCAGGGCAACGGGAACUCAAAUUAAAGGGAGAUCUGGUUCAAUCUGACCUUCUCCGAAUGAACCCGGAGCUCAAAGAAACACAUUUAGAGGAUCCAGGUUAGACUCUGUGACGCUCAGAAUGACAUCCGACAGAACCAGACCCGGUCCGACAUGUCAAAUCAAGAGUUUAUGAUGAGGCAGAAACAGAAAAACAGACGUGUGUCCUCGUCUUCAUGUUUGUUCAUCAGGUAAAAAUAGAGAUUUAAAAAUGUCUAACAUCAGAUCAGUGAACGGAGGUCUGCGUCAGACUCUCAUGUAAAUGAAAAUUCAUCAUUACGAACUCACAGUCCGACUCCUCCUGUGGCCUUUUUACUCGGAGCCCAGGGGAAGGUAGGGGAAGGUCCCGCCUCCUUCGCCUCUGAUUGGCUAGGAGUGCUGGGCUCUGAUUGGUUAUUCCUUAUGACUGUGAAAUGUCAUCAUCUGUUGGGUUAGGGUCAUUCUGUUUCAGUUUCCUCAGAAGUCAGAAGUCGGAGCUGAAAAUGACGUCACACCCGAGUUCUCAGCGUUUCAGUUACCAAGUCUGUAAAAAGCAAAAUCAGAGGCGGAAAGUUAGGAAAGUUAUUUUAGCGCUGUCCUUGUCCGACCAGGCAAGCGCUAAAAUAACUUUCAUAGAUGUAGCCAUCUUGUUUCAGGCCUCUGAUUUUGCUUUUUACCGUCUUGGUGACUGAAACGCUGUGAACUCGGGUGUGACGUCAUUUUCAGCUCCGACUUCUGACUUCCGAGGUAACUUGAACGCAGCAUCAGAAUUGCGAUAAUGUUCCGUAAUGUUCUGUUCGAUGUACAGAGCCGACAGCUCGCACUUGGCUUGAGUGUGUGAUGACGUUUCACAACAAUGAUGACUAACCAAUCGGAGCCCAGCUUUUCUAACCAAUCAGAAGAAGGAGGCGGGACCUUUCCCUACCAUCCUACGAAGAAAAAUGUCGCCACCUGGAUUAUGGUGUCAAACUAUAAUAUAGAGAAAAAUCAGAAUCUAGAAGGGGGCGGGGCUAUGAUGUCAGCUAUGAUGUCAUCUUUGUUGGCAACAGUGGAGGAGGUCUCUAGAGAGGAGGAGUUAGACAUACUUAUUCUUCAAGGUCGGGUUUUCAUAUCUGGAGCUGAAACUAAAACAUUUUUAAAUCAAUUCACAUUUUAAUAUACCAGUUAAUAAAAACAAAUUUAAACAGUCACUUCCACUCAUGAUUACAGACUGUAGGAGAUGGUGAACCGUCCAGUCUGAGUCUGUGGUGGUGGAGCUGAAAGUCUGAGUUCAGAGCAGAAGGAGAAAACAGAAAUCAUCGACAGGAACCUAAACGGUGACAAAGCGAAGUGUAAGGAGUUUAAAAUCAGAGGAACACCGAGAUCACGCUGUUCUUUAAAAACUCCGGUCUGACGGAGACGUCUUCUCAUUUCCAGGAAAACAACAGGUCUCUCAUGAGGAACACGGCGUAUUUUUAUCAGAUCAACAACCUAUCUGCUGAAAAACAAGAUUAGAAGUUCAGUGAACCGGUACAUGAGGUCCGAGCCUGUUUUUCCUCUCUGUGGUGGUUUUUUACAGGAGAACUGCACAAACAGAAACACGUGAAUAUUUCCAAUCAAGACUCUGAUCUGUGUCUGUAUAACACUCUCCACUUUGGACGGGGUUAGUGAUGAAUUAGAGAAAGGCUCCAGUUUCAAAGUGAUUCAUCCUUCACAAACAAACGUCCCGAAAAGACGAGCGCAGACUCAGAACUACAGCCCAGAGAAAACCAGAAAAAUAAGCCAUCAGUAUGAACAAGGUCAGAAAAAUAGAAGAUAGAUUUCAAAAUAUAAACUCUCAGUAAAAAUGUGAAAUCUGUGGUUUUCAGAGAGAGAGGGGGAAAAAAGACAGAGAGGUUUUUGUUCUGUUUCCAUGGAGUCAGCACCGAGGGUCUUUGUAAGGGAGAGGUACAAAUGACUUUGGCAGAAAAGGAGGAGAAUAUUUCUGAUGAUUAACAAGAAAAGAAAGAAAGGAUUGAGGUGAUGAGCGGUUAAUGAGGAGACUCAAAUUAAAAAGGGACGUCUGAAUAAAAGAGAGGCUCUGUUUCUCUGACACCAGCGUCUCUCUUCUGUCCUUUUUAUUCUACAGAAGAAAUCCUAGAAGAAGGUUUGGUGUUUUAUUUUUGUAAGUUUCUUUUAAACUCCUGUUUUAAACUUUAUUUUUUUAACUUUUCUCUGUGGCUUAGCAGAUAAAAAUAUCCUGUUUGGAGUGGAAUCGAGUGUCAGCCGUCUGAGGUCUUUCCUGUAGUGCUUGAAAACACAUCCUUCUCUUAUGUGGGGUCCCCCAGGGGUCUAUCUUGGGUCCCCUUUUGUCCGUUGAAAACCAAACAGCGGUCAUCCUGUUCGGUCG
rnacentral:lncRNA from 1 species